rnacentral:lncRNA from 1 species
UUUUUAGGUUGUUUUCAAGUGUUUUGGUAGUGUGUGAAAGUGUCCUUUGAAGUUUAAAACCAUAGAGAGCAAUGGUAUGCUUUGAAAACGAAAAUGUGUUUGUUUUGUGAAAAAUAGUGUAUUUAACUUCGGGAAUUUUUAAUCACUAUGGGGAGGACUCGGAAAUAAUAUCCGAGAGUGUUAGGAAGUGCCUUAGACACCUCUAGACCUUUCACUACAAAAAAUAUGUUGACUUACGACACAUGGAUUCUGGCAGUUUAGAAGAACCGUCGCCGCUAUGUUAAUAUUUG